rnacentral:rRNA from 1 species
GACGAAGGGGGGCUAGCGUUGUUCGGAAUUACUGGGCGUAAAGCGCGUGUAGGCGGUUAUCCAAGUCGGGUGUGAAAGCCUUGAGCUCAACUCAAGAAAUGCACUCGGUACUGGGUGACUAGAGGACCGGAGAGGAUAGUGGAAUUCCCAGUGUAGUGGUGAAAUACGUAGAGAUUGGGAAGAACACCAGUGGCGAAGGCGGCUAUCUGGACGGUUUCUGACGCUAAGACGCGAAAGCGUGGGGAGCAACAGG